rnacentral:rRNA from 1 species
CAGGGAUAAGCGCUGAAGGCAUCUAAGCGCGAAACCCGCCUCAAGAUGAGACCUCCCAGGGCGCAAGCCCUCUGAAGGCCCCUGGAAGAUGACCAGGUUGAUAGGCCGGAGGUGUAAGCCCCGUAAGGGGUUCAGCUUACCGGUACUAAUCGGCCGUGCGGCUUGACCAC